AUUGAACGCUGGCGGCAUGCCUUACACAUGCAAGUCGAACGGUAACAGGUCUUCGGAUGCUGACGAGUGGCGAACGGGUGAGUAAUACAUCGGAACGUGCCCGAUCGUGGGGGAUAACGAAGCGAAAGCUUUGCUAAUACCGCAUACGAUCUACGGAUGACAGCGGGGGAUCUUCGGACCUCGCGCGGACGGAGCGGCCGAUGGCAGAUUAGGUAGUUGGUGGGAUAAAAGCUUACCAAGCCGACGAUCUGUAGCUGGUCUGAGAGGAUGAUCAGCCACACUGGGAUUGAGACACGGCCCAGACUCCUACGGGAGGCAGCAGUGGGGAAUUUUGGACAAUGGGCGCAAGCCUGAUCCAGCCAUGCCGCGUGCAGGAUGAAGGCCUUCGGGUUGUAAACUGCUUUUGUACGGAACGAAAAGGUGCCUUCUAAUAAAGGGCGCUCAUGACGGUACCGUAAGAAUAAGCACCGGCUAACUACGUG
rnacentral:rRNA from 1 species